UAAGGAAUCUAAAAAAGAAAAAGAAAAAAUUAGAGUUCUCGAUUAGUCUUCUUCAUCGUCUUCAACUAUACCUUUUUUUUUUUUUUUUUUUUUUUUU
rnacentral:ribozyme from 14 species